CGAUUUCCGGCGAAGGGGGGGGUCACCGGACGGCCACCGGAGGCUCGCCGGCGCCGGCGCCGGCCACCGCGUGCGGUGGCCGGAAAGGUAAAAUUUUUUUAUUUUUUUUGUUAUUCCUUUUUUAUAAAUUUAUGCUAUGUAUAGAUAUAUAAUAGAUGAGUUUUCGAAUAAAAAUAAAAGAAACCUUAGAUCUCUGCCUUUUCCGUUUCGGGUCUUUUUCUUGCUUCAAUCUGCCUUUUUUUGUAUUCUAAGUAGUAUUACAACUGAAAAAUGAAAGGAAAAAAAUCCCCAGUUCCCAUCACCGAUUUCGGCUUUUAAAGCCAAUAUAUUUGUUUUGUUCCUUUUGUUUAUUGUUUUCCCCAUCAUUUGCAUGCUUUCCUUGCUGUGGUGUCUGUUCUUGUUGCAGGUGGUGGGCACGGUGGAGCAGGUGGGAGUGUCAGACGCGUGGGCGUCGUGGUGGCCAAGGCUGAGGCGUGCGAGCGUGAGGGGGACAGACGAGGCUGAGCGGCGCGCCCUAGGCAUGCUGCGCCUAGGGUUUUCUGCUGCAAACAUUUGUUUUUUUUUAUUUGGGCUAGGGUUUCUGCUGUUGGGCUAGGUAGUGGGUUGGUUUGUUAUUUUGUAAUUGGACUGUUGUUUAUUGUUUUAAUAUUCGGGCCUGGGCAUAAAAUUGGGCCUUACAGUCUCCAUGCCUCUGUUGAAAAGGAAAUGGCGAAUACAGGAAACAUGUACUUCAGAAGGCAGGGUGUUUUGGAGAAACUGUCCUUAAA
rnacentral:lncRNA from 1 species